UCCUACGGGAGGCAGCAGUGGGGAAUUUUGGACAAUGGGCGCAAGCCUGAUCCAGCCAUGCCGCGUGCGGGAAGAAGGCCUUCGGGUUGUAAACCGCUUUUGUCAGGGAAGAAAAGGUUCUGGCUAAUACCUGGGACUCAUGACGGUACCUGAAGAAUAAGCACCGGCUAACUACGUGCCAGCAGCCGCGGUAAUACGUAGGGUGCAAGCGUUAAUCGGAAUUACUGGGCGUAAAGCGUGCGCAGGCGGUUAUGCAAGACAGAGGUGAAAUCCCCGGGCUCAACCUGGGAACUGCCUUUGUGACUGCAUGGCUAGAGUACGGUAGAGGGGGAUGGAAUUCCGCGUGUAGCAGUGAAAUGCGUAGAUAUGCGGAGGAACACCGAUGGCGAAGGCAAUCCCCUGGACCUGUACUGACGCUCAUGCACGAAAGCGUGGGGAGCAAACAGGAUUAGAUACCCCAGUAGUCCAAGCCG
rnacentral:rRNA from 1 species